AGGAUACGAAUGGGAUCACGCAUAAAUUUGGUGGUGACUUCCAAAACAUCUUGAGGCAUGGUGGCAGAAAGAAGAACAACUUGAGCAGUAGGAGGCAAAAGUUGGAAAAUGUCGUAAAUUUGGUCCUUGAAACCACGGGACAACAUUUCAUCAGCCUCAUCAAGAACAAACAUUUGGACGGCAUCGGUAGGAAGAGCACGACGUUGAAUCAUGUCGUG